GUCGAACGCGUGUAGCAAUACACGAGUGGCGAAAGGGCGAGGAAUAGAUUCCUACGUACCCCGGAGUCAGGGAUAACCAUCGGAAACGGUGGCUAACACCUGAUGAUCUCGAAAGAGCAAAGUUUACGCUCUGGGAGCGGGGAAUCUCCUAUCAGGUAGUUGGUGAGGUAAUGGCUCACCAAGCCUUAGACGGGUAGCGGGUGUGAGAGCACGGCCCGCCGCAUCGGGACUGAGACACUGCCCGGACUCCUACGGGAGGCUGCAGUAACGAAUCUUCCGCAAUGCACGAAAGUGUGACGGGGCAAUGCCGCGUGUGGGAUGAAGCCCCUCGGGGUGUAAACCACUGUCAGGGUCUAGGAACACAAUGACCAUACCCAAAGGAAGCACCGGCUAACUCUGUGCCAGCAGCCGCGGUAAUACAGAGGGUGCGAGCGUUAAUCGGAAUUACUGGGCUUAAAGGGUCCGUAGGCUGGGCUGUAGGCGUCGAGUGAAAUACCACGGCUCAACCGUGGAACUGCUCGGCGAACCACAGCUCUUGAGGCGAGCAGAGGCGAUCAGAACGAUAGGUGGAGCGGUGAAAUGCGUAGAUAUCUAUCGGAAUGCCGAAGGUGAAGACAGGUCGCUGGGCUCGUCCUGACGCUGAGGGACGAAAGCGUGGGGAGCAAACGGGAUUAGAUACCCCGGUAGUCCACGCCGUAAACAAUGCGCACUGGGUCGGAGGGGUUUGACGCCUUUCUGGCCGAAGCAAAAGUGUUAAGUGCGCCGCCUGGGGAGUACGGUCGCAAGGCUAAAACUCAAAGGAAUUGACGGGGGCUCACAC
rnacentral:rRNA from 1 species